CUCUCUCUCUCUGUCUCUGGAAAGGGGAGCCUCUUCCUUCUUUCUUGUCUAUCAAAUUAUCUGCUCCCUAAAACCACUCCACAUGUGUCC